GAUGAACGCUAGCGGCAGGCCUAAUACAUGCAAGUCGAACGGUGUAGCAAUACACAGUGGCGCACGGGUGCGUAACACGUAUGCAACCUACCUUACAUUGGGGGAUAGCCUUUCGAAAGGGAGAUUAAUACCGCAUAAGACAGUAACUAGGCAUCUAGUAGCUGUUAAAGAUUUAUCGAUGUAAGCUGAGUCGGCGUCUGAUUAGCUAGUUGGAGAGGUAAAAGCUCACCAAGGCGACGAUCAGUAGCCGGUCUGAGAGGAUGAACGGCCACACUGGGACUGAGACACGGCCCAGACUCCUACGGGAGGCAGCAGUGGGGAAUCUUCCGCAAUGGACGAAAGUCUGACGGAGCAACGCCGCGUGAGUGAAGAAGGUCUUCGGAUUGUAAAGCUCUGUCAACUAGGACGAAUGUGUGACUUGUGAAUAAUGAGUCAUAAUGACGGUACUAGAGAAGGAAGCCACGGCUAACUACGUGCCAGCCGCCGCAGUAACAC
rnacentral:rRNA from 1 species